UCAGGUAACACAGUAGUCAACAUGCCCAGGGGACGUGGAUAACCUCGGGAAACUGAGGAUACAACCGCGAUAGGUCACUACUUCUGGAAUGGGUAAUGACCCAGACCUAUAUGGACCCCUGGAUUGGACUGAGGCCGAUCAGGCUGUUGGUGAGGUAAUGGCCCACCAAACCUGUAACCGGUACGGGCUCUGAGAGGAGGAGCCCGGAGAUGGGCGCUGAGACAAGGGCCCAGAGACCUAUGGGGCGCAGCAGGCGCGAAACCUCUGCAAAUAGGCGAAACGCUUGACAGGGUUCACUCUGAGAUGAUUUCCGUUAAGGAGAUCUUCUUGGCACCUCUAAAAAUGGUAGCAAGAAUAAGGGGUGGG
rnacentral:rRNA from 1 species